GGGGAACUCACAAUCAAAAGCAAAACGCCACUCCAAUAGUGGUGAAAAAGCAGAACUGCAAAUAGCGAUGAGAGCUGAGACUUAGUGUGGCCUCAAGGCCCUGCACAACCUGCCACCGCCUUAAGUUUCUGAGCUCACUUUUCCCCAUGUGCUUCCAGCCGCAGUGGCCUCCUGGCUGUUUCUCAGUUAUGCCGGGUAUGUUCCUGCCCCAAGGCCUUUGCACUUGCUGCUCCCUCUCCCUCAUCUUUUCCAGAUCUUCCUAUGGCUGGCUCCUUCUUGAUGUGAAUAUUGAUUCAGGAGUUUCCGUCCUGUGGCUCCUAUUUGACCCCUAGCCUGGGAAUUUCCAUAUGCCGUGAGUGUGGUACACCCGCCCCAAAAAAAUAUUGAUUCAAACAUCACCUCCUCAGAGAAGCCCCCACCAGGCACUCUCUUACCAUGUCACCCUGUUUGUUUACUUCAUACGUGUAUCAAUCUGAAGUUAUGUUGUCUGUUUAUUUGUUUAUUGAAUGAUCCCCAAAUGGUGAGCUCCAUGAAAACAGGGGCUGUGUCCCCAGUGUCUGGAACAAAUCCCAGAGCAGGGAAGGUGCUCUGUGGAUGUUUGUUGGACAAGUAUUUGAAUGUUUAAGUGAAGGAAAAAAAACAUGAAUGAAUGAUGUAAGGACAUUGACAGGGGGAUUGAAGCUAGUCUGCAAAAUCAGGGAAGACUUCCCUGAGGAGGUGACAUUAAAGCUGAACUGUGAACGAGGAAGGGAUAUUAAUUGGGCCAAAAGGGUGGAAUGGCUACCUAGUCAGAGGACAAAGCACAUGCAAGUACCCAGAGGCAAAACCCAUAGGUCACUCCAGAGCUGUGCAGGGGAACAAACCAACUACAACUCUAGACUUUUCUUUUCCUGUUUGUUUUAAUUGAGGUAUAAUUGAUGUAUAACAUUAUAUUAAUUUCAGGUAUACAGUGUUUUUGAUAUUUAUAUAUAUUGUGAAAUGAUAACCAAAACAAUUUAACAUCUGUCACUGCACAUAGUUAGACGCACUUUUUUUUUUUAAGAUGAGCACUUUUAAGAUCUGCUCUCAGAGUUCCCAUCGUGGCUCAGUGGAAAUGAAUCUGACUACAUCCAUGAGGAUGCAGGUUCGAUCCCUGGCCUCACUCAGUGGGUUAAGGAUCCGUUGUUGCCGUGAGCUGUGGUGUAGGUCACAGACGUGACUCGGAUCUGAUGUUGCUGUGGCUGUACCAUAGGCCAGCGACUACAGCUCCGAUUCAACCCCUGGCCUGCGAACCUCCAUAUGCCAAGAGUAUGGCCCUAGAAAGACAAAAAAAAAAA
rnacentral:lncRNA from 1 species